rnacentral:rRNA from 1 species
UAGGGAAUAUUAGUAAUGGGCGAAAGCCUGAACUAGCAACACCGCGUGUGCGAAGAAGGCCUUCGGGUUGUAAAGCACUUUUUGAGAGGAUGAGGAAGGACGGUACUCUCAGAAUAAGUCUCGGCUAACUACGUGCCAGCAGCCGCGGUAACACGUAGGAGGCAAACGUUAUCCGGAUUUACUGGGCGUAAAGCGCGUGUAGGUGGUUUGGUAAGUAGAGCGUGAAAGCUCCUGGCUCAACUGGGAGAGGUCGUUCUAAACUGCCGGACUAGAGGAUGGUAGAGGGCAAACGGUAGCC